GGGCCAGUAGCUCAGUUGGCAGAGCCCCCGGCUCAUAACCGGAUGGUCCCAGGUUCGAAUCCUGGUUGGCCCACCA
rnacentral:tRNA from 1 species